GAUGAACGCUGGCGGCGUGCCUAAUACAUGCAAGUCGAGCGAACAGACGAGGAGCUUGCUCCUCUGACGUUAGCGGCGGACGGGUGAGUAACACGUGGAUAACCUACCUAUAAGACUGGGAUAACUUCGGGAAACCGGAGCUAAUACCGGAUAAUAUAUUGAACCGCAUGGUUCAAUAGUGAAAGACGGUUUUGCUGUCACUUAUAGAUGGAUCCGCGCCGCAUUAGCUAGUUGGUAAGGUAACGGCUUACCAAGGCGACGAUGCGUAGCCGACCUGAGAGGGUGAUCGGCCACACUGGAACUGAGACACGGCCCAGACUCCUACGGGAGGCAGCAGUAGGGAAUCUUCCGCAAUGGGCGAAAGCCUGACGGAGCAACGCCGCGUGAGUGAUGAAGGUCUUCGGAUCGUAAAACUCUGUUAUUAGGGAAGAACAAAUGUGUAAGUAACUAUGCACGUCUUAACGGUACCUAAUCAGAAAGCCACGGCUAACUACGUG
rnacentral:rRNA from 1 species